AUACAAAAUUGCAAACUCCCUAAACCAUUGUGGACGCUACCUUCAAACGUUGCUUCGGCGGGCGGCCCGCUCCCCUGGAAAGCCCCUGUGGCCGCCCGGGGCUGCAGGCCCCCCGGCCCCCCCUCGCGGGGGCGCCCGCCGGAGGAUGCCCAACUCUUGAUAAUUUUAGGCCUCUCUGAGUCUUCUGUACUGAAUAAGUCAAAACUUUCAACAACGGAUCUCUUGGUUCUGGCAUCGAUGAAGAACGCAGCGAAAUGCGAUAAGUAAUGUGAAUUGCAGAAUUCAGUGAAUCAUCGAAUCUUUGAACGCACAUUGCGCCCGCCAGUAUUCUGGCGGGCAUGCCUGUUCGAGCGUCAUUUCAACCAUCAAGCCCCAGGCUUGUGUUGGGGACCUGCGGCUGCCCGCAGGCCCUGAAAACCAGUGGCGGGCUCGCUGUCACCCCGAGCGUAGUAGCAAUCACCUCGCUCAGGGCGUGCCGCGGGCGCCGGCCGUUAAAGCUGCCUUCGCGCAACACCCAAGGUUGACCUCGGAUCAGGUAGGAAGACCCGCUGAACUUAAGCAUAUCAAUAAGCGGAGGAAAAGAAACCAACAGGGAUUGCCCUAGUAACGGCGAGUGAAGCGGCAACAGCUCAAAUUUGAAAUCUGGCCUCGGCCCGAGUUGUAAUUUGCAGAGGAAGCUUUAGGCGCGGCACCUUCUGAGUCCCCUGGAACGGGGCGCCAUAGGGGUGAGAGCCCCGUAUAGUUGGAUGCCUAGCUGUGUAAAGCUCCUUCGCGGUCGGUAGUUGGGAAUGCUGCUCAAAAUGGGAGGUAAAUUUCUUCUAAAGCUAAAUACCGGCCAGGCCGUAG
rnacentral:rRNA from 1 species